rnacentral:rRNA from 1 species
AAACAUAGCCAAGUUUAAAUACCCAAGGUGCUACCUGCUCAGUGGCCAAAGAAAAAACCUUUUAAUAAGAGGUAAAUUUGGUUAAACAGCUGCCUUAAUCCUAGAGGGUACUAAGUAAGCAUAAUCGGAUACCGUUUAAUUGGCGGAGAGUUGAAUGGACGAACGAGCGCAAAACUGUCUUAGUAAAAAAUAUAUUAAAUUAGACAUUUUAGUGAAGAGGCUAAAAUAGAUAGAGGGACGAGAAGACCCCGUGAAGCUUAACUAUAGACUGAUGUACAUACCCUUAUUGGUAGGUGUCAGACACUUACUUGACAUUUAUUUUUAAUUAAAAAGUAUAAUGUGUAUAAUUAUUUGUUUAGUCAGUUAGUUAGUUUUGUUGGGGCGACAGCACGUUAAAAGAAUCAUGAAGUUAGCGGUGAUAAAAUAAAGAAACUAGUGUAAGAUACAUCUUUAUACAGAAUUAAAAAAUGGUAAAGUGACCCCCCCUAAGAAUAUAGUAAAAAGGGGUACGAAGGAUAAAAGUUACUCCGGGGAUAACAGGGUAAUUGGGAUCUGUAGUCGUCAUGUGGGUCCCUGUUUACCACCUCGAUGUUGAAUUGACUUAUCCUAAUGAUGAAGAAGAUAUUAAGGGUGGGACUGUUCGUCCCCUAAGAAGUUACAUGAUU